rnacentral:rRNA from 1 species
ACUCCUACGGGAGGCAGCAGUAGGGAAUCUUCCGCAAUGGACGAAAAGUCUGACGGAGCAACGCCGCGUGAGUGAUGAAAGGUUUUUCGGAUCGUAAAAACUCUGUUGUUAGGGAAGAACAAGUACCGGAGUAACUGCCGGUACCUUGACGGUACCUAACCAGAAAGCCACGGCUAACUACGUGCCAGCAGCCGCGGUAAUACGUAGGUGGCAAGCGUUGUCCGGAAUUA